UGUGUUGCAUGUAUUCCACUGAUUUUUUCGUCUGACGGCAUUCCCCUCCAUGUCUGCUAGAAUGUGUAGGUGGUAGAACAUCGGUUUUUUUCCCUGUCGUUGUUUUUCAGCCCGCCUAUUAUAACGCUUGAAAAGCAGGACGCCCACGACAGUACCAUCGCUUUUGCACACACACGAUGGCCCCAAAACAUAAAUCGAUCCCGAGCAGUGACUUCGAGGCCGUUUUCCAUUUUGUCUGUAUUCUCUAUGGAUGUGAAUCGCAAUGUCUUGUCGGAAGGCAAAUGCCAUAUAUGCCACAGGAAAGUUGUGGUGGAUGCUUUUCAGAAUACAUUCCCGUCGCGAGUGAGCCUUGAGGGGGCGCUGGCCCCCUCUAGUGUAGGUGCGCAGCAGGAAAAAAUGCGAGCCGGCUACCAACACGGAGAUAUCAAUCUUUCCUGAAAGUUCCAGUACAUACACUGGGUGAUCGAAUAGAGGGUUUGUUAUCUGACUUAAAGGACAGUAUGCGUGAACUGCAAGAAAGCUCUCCAGGCUAUCUGGUGUCAGGUGGCAACUGCACAUCCUCAAGCCACUUUAUUUGGAGAGGCAGAACUAGGAUGCCAAGCAAGGGAAUUACAGAUGAUUGUGACAGUGGUAAGCCUGUCUCGGGAUGCUGGUACGGCAUGACAUCUUUGCCCGAACCGCGGGACCGUGUCCUAAAAAUCUCAGGCGUCCCGGGUGCCAACUAAACACCACGGGGUGAAGAAUGGAUCAUUCGAACAUCUGACACAACCCCGGAUGAAGUGUUACAGGCGCAUGUUACAUUGUGUCAAGCCUAAUGGAAGAGGCAGCUUUCAUGAAUGCCGAAUCUUACGUGGUACGGAGGGUGCCUGGCUGUCCAACGGUAGUUGCAGAAGUCCAGCAGAAGAACUAGAUAGACUUAUCAGGUGUUCCGACUGUAUCGUAGGAGCCAAGCCAGACUGUUUGUUUGAACAAGAGGUAUUACACCCUUCACAUGUCGGAGAGCCAGGAAGUUUGUCACAGAGAGCUGAGUCGAGCGCUAACAUGGCCAUUUCCACCGUUCCGGUAUUUUUCCGAGAUCCACGGUUGUGAAGCGCUGCACCAGCACAGACAAAUUGAACGACGCCGGUGUACGCAAACAACGCAAUGCCCCCUUUUCCCAGCCAUUCGCGUGUUCCUAUCUGCGCCUUCGAAGAGAGCGAAAGAUCCUGUUGAUGCCGUAAUAAAGGCAGCUGCCUCUUCCGAUCCUCGUUUCCCGAUACUGCAGAUGUUGCCAGACCCUCCUCAAAAAGGUGCGAAGAUUCAGACCUCGAAGACAAAUACUGGGGCAAAAGUACACGCUGUCCAUGUGCGUGAUGACUCGCAGCGCUAAUGUCAUUGUAAGGGCAGCUUCGUACGGUUGGGCGUGAUGUGUGGCUUGACCUCGUUAGCACAUCAUGUUUGCCGGGGCAGUCGACGACAGUUGAGUGUCGGGAAAACCAUUGAAUCCUCUUCUGUUUACUUACUUGUGUUCGCUAGUGCUGUAGGCC
rnacentral:lncRNA from 1 species